GCCGCUAUAGCUCAGUGGUUAGAGCGCGUCUUGUAAACCAGGGGUCGUGAGUUGAAAUCCCCUCGCAGGUGGCU